CUUUUUUGCGGGUGGUGUCGGUGACAAGGACGGGAGAAGGGUCUCAUCGUCACGGAUUUCAUUUCACUGUUAUUGUUGAGGACUUCCUGAGAAAUACUCGAUUGGUGUAAGAAUUCAAAAAUCUGGUUGUUAAUCAGGUUUUGAGGCCUUGUAUGCCUACUUGGUUUUGGCCUUCUAGGUGUACGCCCGUUUGUCGGCGUCCCUGGUCCAUAGAGCUCGGUUCGGGGCG